UUUAGUUCAAGUUGGGAGGAAUUAUUGCAUUGGUUGGGUUUCCAAUAAAAAGUGAGACUAUCCUUUUUAUUACCAUAAAAAAAGGAGAGAGUAUAUAACUGACAUAAUUGAUGAUAUUAUUUCCUUUUUGAAUUGUAGUAUCUUCGUAAGUCGUAACUAAAACCACCAAGGUAAGGUGGUACUAAAAAGUAUCAAUGGUUAAAACCUGUUUAUAAGCUAUUUAAUAUGUUUAGUAGUAAAACAAUUUACAACAAAGCUUUCAUAGCUGGGUUGGUUAGAGCACCCGUUUAGUAAGCGGGAGAUCCUGAAUUUUCCAAAUUGUUUUACUCGAGCAGGGAACGUGUUCGACGAAAUGCCCCAUUCUUUUAUCUAACUGCGUUUCUAGUACCAAUGUCAUCCUCGAACUUUUUGCGGACACUCAGAUUCGUCUGGAUCUAAUGCUGAUGUUUUACGUUUAGAAUCUUAAGUUUCUGUCUUUAGAGACUGGACUAGUUGGCUAGUUAUAAGAAUCGUUGCUUAGAGUUGAUUGCAGUGACAUAGAAACCCUAAUCAGCUACUGUAUUUGUUCAUCAAUUUUGUACCUUUGCAAGGAGGCUUCUACCAUUUUGGCUUAAAAAAUUAUUAUCUCUUGAAUCUUGUGACUGAAAUGUUUUCUGUCUUUUUUUGUUAAAUUGAUCAGCAUGCGAUGAGUAAUUCUGCAAAUUGAUUUAUCAUGUUUCAUUUGUGUGUUUGAAGGAAGAUGGCUAGUGGCAGCUUGAAAAGCCUUGUAACUUCAGCAGUCACUAUUGGUGUGACCGAAGCUAGAGCAAGGAUUUUCGGACACAUGCUUAACCCAACGGGACAGAGAUCUUAAGGAGAAGCUUUUUGGUGAUAAGGUUGCUGAAUGGUAUCCCUACGACAUCAAGAAUGAGGAUCCCAAUGUCUUGGCUAGAGAAGAAAAAGAGCGCUUAUCGAAGCUUGAGAUGUUGAAGCGUCGUGACAAAGGACCACCAAAGAAGGGUCAUGGAAGACGUGCUGCAAAGCGUAACAAGUAGAGAAUGUUAUCUUCCAACAAAAGAGAUCUGUACUCUCAUAAUCAGCUUCUUCUGGUUAAUGUCAGAUAGAACUUAGUAGUUAGAUUCUUUUUAUUUUGUGUUUUACUCUGCUUCUUUAAUCUUUACUCUCUAGUAUGCAACAACCUUAUAUACUCGUGUUGUGUAAUAAUCAUGGAUUCAAAUCCCAAACUAUGCGUAUGGAAUUUUGAUCAUAAUCUUCACUUAUUCUGAGAGACAUCUA